CUUUACCUGUUAGCUUUGCUUUCCUUUCCACGGCAGACGAAAAAUGAUGCAUUUCCUCAUUGUUGUGUAAACUGACAACCUGAAGAAAAUUCUCCUCUUCCGCCUUCAACAAGCACAUGUCUCGCACAAGAUCAUGGAGAUAACAAGAUUUAAUUUUUCUAAUUGAACCUUGCUCCCCUAUUUGGACCACACACCUUUUUACCAACUCCCCCAACCAAUUGUAUGCUACAUCCUCCAUUAUUUCCCCUAAACCUUCCCUUCGAUUUGCUGAAGAUACAAAACCUUCUGCAAUCCAUAGUUGAGUCAACCUUUUCACAGUUAUCUUUGUAUCUUCAGGGAAAUUGCCAAAAUACAAGAAGCAUGGUUUUGAGUGAUACGCACCUUUUCCCAUUCAUUAACAGCAUCUUUCCUGGCUAGAAGUCCUGCGAACACAGUGAUGGCCAAUGGUAAACCCCCACAGUGUUGAAGCAUCCUUUGUCCUAAUUCUUUUUUCUUUGAAUGAAUUUCAGAGUCUGUAAGACAACAAAGAUUUAAAUUAAGUAAUUAACUAUUAUUUA